rnacentral:rRNA from 1 species
UACGGGGGGGGCAAGCGUUGUUCGGAAUUACUGGGCGUAAAGGGCGCGUAGGCGGCCUUCUAAGUCGGACGUGAAAUCCCUCGGCUUAACCGAGGAACUGCGUCCGAUACUGAAAGGCUUGAAUCCGGGAGAGGGAUGUGGAAUUCCAGGUGUAGCGGUGAAAUGCGUAGAUAUCUGGAGGAACACCGGUGGCGAAGGCGGCAUCCUGGACCGGCAUUGACGCUGAGGCGCGAAAGCUAGGGGAGCAAAGCGGG